rnacentral:rRNA from 1 species
AUGGCGCCCGUGGAGACGGAGAAAUCCAUUACUCUUCCACGAACACACGUUGUUCUCGUCCCGCUCAUGGGGCAGGGCCACACCACCCCCAUGGCCGACCUUGCGUGCCUCAUUGCGGGACGCGGCGUGCGAGUGAGCCUCGUCACCACGCCCGUCAACGCUGCGCGCCUGCGGGGACUAGCCGACAGGGCGCGGAGCGCCAUGUUGCCGCUGGAAAUUGUCGAGCUCCCAUUCCCGCCGGCUGACGACGGGCUGCCCCGGGGCAGCAGCGACAAUAGCGACAAUGUCCUCCAAUUGUUCCUGUCCCUCUAUAGGCUAGCCGGGCCACUCGAGGCGUACGUGCGCUCGCUGCCCUGGCGCCCCAGCUGCAUCAUCUCCGACUCCUGCAACCCGUGGACGGUCGGCGUCGCCAGGAGCGUUGGGGUCCCUCGGCUCACCUUCACCGGCCCUUCCUGUUUCUACUCGCUCUGCGACUUCAACGUCGUAAAGCACGGGCUUCUUCACAGCGGCAACGUCGUGCCGGGCAUGCCGGUGCGAGUGGAGUUGAGCAAGGACACAUGGGCCGCUGCCUUCUUAACUUGCAUGCCUGCGUGGGGGAAGUUCGUGGAGGAGGUGAGAGAGGGCAUCCGCACGGCCGACGGUGCCGUGGUGAACACGUUCCGGGGCCUUGAGGAACAGUUCGUCGCAUGCUACGAGGCAGCGUUGGGCAAGCCGGUGUGGGUGCUCGGGCCCUUCUUCCUCAAUAGCCGGGACGAGGAGGCACGCACCAUAGACCAGAGCACAGUCAUCGCUUGGCUGGACAUGAUGGACCAAAGCACGGUCGUCUAUGUCUGUUUCGGCAGCCUCGCGCAGAUGCUUCCCAAGCAGCUGUACGAGAUCGGACACGGCCUCGAGGACUCUGGGAAGCCAUUCCUUUGGGUGGUGAAGGAGUCCGAGACGGUUUUGCCAGAAGCAAAAGAGUGGCUCGAAGCCCUCGAGAUGCGCACGGCAGGGCAUGGGCUCAUAGUGCAUGGCUGGGCGCCUCAGGUCGCCAUCCUGUCACACCGCGCCGUAGGUGGCUUCAUGACCCACUGCGGGUGGAACUCGCUGCUGGAGUCCGUCGCGCAAGGCGUGCCUGUCAUGACGUGGCCUCACUUCGGUGACCAGUUCCUCAAUGAGCGGCUUGCGGUGGACGUACUUGGCGUCGGCGUGCCAGUUAGGCCGUUCGAUGGCGAAAAGGCCGUGGACCUUGUAGUGCGGGGGCACAUUGCGCGAGCAGUGUCGGAGCUGAUGGGCGAUGGGGCAGUGGCAGAGGAGAGGAGGAGAAAGUGCAAGGAGUACCGGGAGAGAGCUCACGGAGCCAUGGCCAAAGGAGGCUCGUCGCAUGGAAACCUGACACUGCUAUUACGCAGCUUCAUGCGGAGUGGCAGCAAGGAACAGGUUAAUUCCGUUUGCUCUGCUAGGUGA